rnacentral:rRNA from 1 species
AUGGUUAAGUUAGAAAGGGCGCACGGUGAAUGCCUUGGCACUAGGAGCCGAUGAAGGACGGGACUAACACCGAUAUGCUUCGGGGAGCUGUAAGUGAGCUUUGAUCCGGAGAUUUCCGAAUGGGGAAACCCACUGUUCGUAAUGGAACAGUAUCUUUAUCUGAAUACAUAGGAUAUUGAAGGCAGACCCGGGGAACUGAAACAUCUAAGUACCCGGAGGAAGAGAAAGCAAAUGCGAUUUCCUGAGUAGCGGCGAGCGAAACGGAAUUAGCCCAAACCAAGAGGCUUGCCUCUUGGGGUUGUAGGACACUCUAUACGGAGUUACAAAGGAACGAAGUAAAUGAAGCGACCUGGAAAGGUCCGUCGAAGAAGGUAACAACCCUGUAGUUGAAACUUCGUUCCCUCUUGAGUGGAUCCUGAGUACGGCGGAACACGUGAAAUUCCGUCGGAAGCUGGGAGGACCAUCUCCCAAGGCUAAAUACUACCUAGUGACCGAUAGUGAACCAGUACCGUGAGGGAAAGGUGAAAAGCACCCCGGAAGGGGGAGUGAAAGAGAUCCUGGAACCGUGUGCCUACAAGUAGUCAGAGCCCGUUAACGGGUGAUGGCGUGCCUUUUGUAGAAUGAACCGGCGAGUUACGAUCCCAUGCAAGGUUAAGCUGAUAAGGCGGAGCCGUAGCGAAAGCGAGUCUGAAUAGGGCGUUUAGUAUGUGGUUGUAGACCCGAAACCAGGUGAUCUACCCAUGUCCAGGGUGAAGUUCAGGUAACACUGAAUGGAGGCCCGAACCCACGCACGUUGAAAAGUGCGGGGAUGAGGUGUGGGUAGCGGAGAAAUUCCAAUCGAACCUGGAGAUAGCUGGUUCUCUCCGAAAUAGCUUUAGGGCUAGCCUCAUGUUGUGAGAGUCUUGGAGGUAGAGCACUGAUUGGACUAGGGGCCCCCAACGGGUUACCGAAUUCAGUCAAACUCCGAAUGCCAAAGACUUAUCCAUGGGAGUCAGACUGCGAGUGAUAAGAUCCGUAGUCAAAAGGGAAACAGCCCAGACCACCAGCUAAGGUCCCCAAGUAUACGUUAAGUGGAAAAGGAUGUGGAGUUGCUUAGACAACCAGGAUGUUGGCUUAGAAGCAGCCACCAUUUAAAGAGUGCGUAAUAGCUCACUGGUCGAGUGACUCUGCGCCGAAAAUGUACCGGGGCUAAACGUAUCACCGAAGCUGUGGAUUGACAUCUUUGAUGUCAGUGGUAGGAGAGCGUUCUAAGUGCUGUGAAGUCAGACCGUAAGGACUGGUGGAGCGCUUAGAAGUGAGAAUGCCGGUAUGAGUAGCGAAAGACAAGUGAGAAUCUUGUCCACCGAAUGCCUAAGGUUUCCUGAGGAAGGCUCGUCCGCUCAGGGUUAGUCGGGACCUAAGCCGAGGCUGAAAAGCGUAGGCGAUGGCCAACAGGUUGAUAUUCCUGUACCACCUCCCCGCCGUUUGAGUAAUGGGGGGACGCAGUAGGAUAGGGUAAGCGCGCUGCUGGAUAUGCGCGUUCAAGCAGUUAGGCUGAUGAGUAGGCAAAUCCGCUCAUCAUGAAGGCUGAGCUGUGAUGACGAGGGAAUUAUAGUACCGAAGUUCCUGAUUCCACACUGCCAAGAAAAGCCUCUAGCGAGGCGGGAGGUGCCCGUACCGCAAACCGACACAGGUAGGCGAGGAGAGAAUCCUAAGGUGAUCGAGAGAACUCUCGUUAAGGAACUCGGCAAAAUGACCCCGUAACUUCGGGAGAAGGGGUGCUCUGGUAGGGUGUAUAGCCCGAGAGAGCCGCAGUGAAUAGGCCCAGGCGACUGUUUAGCAAAAACACAGGUCUCUGCGAAGCCGCAAGGCGAAGUAUAGGGGCUGACGCCUGCCCGGUGCUGGAAGGUUAAGAGGAGGGGUUAUCCUUUGGGAGAAGCUCUGAAUCGAAGCCCCAGUAAACGGCGGCCGUAACUAUAACGGUCCUAAGGUAGCGAAAUUCCUUGUCGGGUAAGUUCCGACCCGCACGAAAGGCGUAACGAUCUGGGCACUGUCUCAACGAGAGACUCGGUGAAAUUAUAGUACCUGUGAAGAUGCAGGUUACCCGCGACAGGACGGAAAGACCCCGUGGAGCUUUACUGUAGCCUGAUAUUGAAUUUUGGUACAGCUUGUACAGGAUAGGUAGGAGCCUGAGAAGCCGGAGCGCUAGCUUCGGUGGAGGCGUCGGUGGGAUACUACCCUGGCUGUAUCGAAAUUCUAACCCGCGGCCCUGAUCGGGCCGGGAGACAGUGUCAGGUGGGCAGGUUGACUGGGGCGGUCGCCUCCUAAAAUGUAACGGAGGCGCCCAAAGGUUCCCUCAGAAUGGUUGGAAAUCAUUCGUAGAGUGUAAAGGCACAAGGGAGCUUGACUGCGAGACCUACAAGUCGAGCAGGGACGAAAGUCGGGCUUAGUGAUCCGGUGGUUCCGCAUGGAAGGGCCAUCGCUCAACGGAUAAAAGCUACCCCGGGGAUAACAGGCUUAUCUCCCCCAAGAGUCCACAUCGACGGGGAGGUUUGGCACCUCGAUGUCGGCUCAUCGCAUCCUGGGGCUGUAGUCGGUCCCAAGGGUUGGGCUGUUCGCCCAUUAAAGCGGUACGCGAGCUGGGUUCAGAACGUCGUGAGACAGUUCGGUCCCUAUCCGUCGUGGGCGUAGGAAAUUUGAGAGGAGCUGUCCUUAGUACGAGAGGACCGGGAUGGACACACCGCUGGUGUACCAGUUGUCUUGCCAAAGGCAUCGCUGGGUAGCUAUGUGUGGACGGGAUAAGUGCUGAAAGCAUCUAAGCAUGAAGCCCCCCUCAAGAUGAGAUUUCCCAUAGCGCAAGCUAGUAAGAUCCCUGAAAGAUGAUCAGGUUGAUAGGUCAGAGGUGGAAGCGUGGCGACAUGUGUAGCUGACUGAUACUAAUCGAUCGAGGACUUAACCAAAC